AGGCUUAACACAUGCAAGUCGAGGGGAAACGACAUCGAAAACUUGCUUUUGAUGGGCGUCGACCGGCGCACGGGUGAGUAACGCGUAUCCAACCUGCCCACCACUUGGGGAUAACCUUGCGAAAGUAAGACUAAUACCCAAUGACGUCUCUAGAAGACAUCUGAAAGAGAUUAAAGAUUUAUCGGUGAUGGAUGGGGAUGCGUCUGAUUAGCUUGUUGGCGGGGUAACGGCCCACCAAGGCAACGAUCAGUAGGGGUUCUGAGAGGAAGGUCCCCCACAUUGGAACUGAGACACGGUCCAAACUCCUACGGGAGGCAGCAGUGAGGAAUAUUGGUCAAUGGACGAGAGUCUGAACCAGCCAAGUAGCGUGCAGGAUGACGGCCCUAUGGGUUGUAAACUGCUUUUUAUAAGGGAAUAAAGUGAGUCUCGUGAGACUUUUUGCAUGUACCUUAUGAAAUAAGGACCGGCUAAUUCCGUGCCAGCAGCCGCGGUAAUACGGAAGGGUCCCGGGCGUUAUCCGGAUUUAUUGGGUCUAAAGGGAGCGUAGGCCGGAGAUUAAGCUUGUUGUGAAAUGGAGACGCUUAUCGUCUGCACUGCAGCGCGAACUGGCUUCCGGGAGUACGCACAAAGUGGGCGGAAUUCGUGGUGUAGCGGUGAAAUGCUUAGAUAUCACGAAGAACUCCGAUUGCGAAGGCAGCUCACUGGAGCGCAACUGACGCUGAAGCUCGAAAGUGCGGGUAUCGAACAGGAUUAGAUACCCUGGUAGUCCGCACGGUAAACGAUGGAUGCCCGCU
rnacentral:rRNA from 1 species